rnacentral:rRNA from 1 species
UACGUAGGGGGCCAGCGUUGCUCGGAAUUACUGGGCGUAAAGGGUCCGUAGGCGGUGUAGCAAGUCGAUAGUGAAAUCUCUGGGCUUAACCCAGAGGCUGCUAACGAAACUGCUGUGCUAGAGUGUGAGAGAGGCGAGUGGAAUUACGGGUGUAGCGGUGAAAUGCGUAGAUAUCUGGAGGAACACCGGUGGCGAAGGCGGCGUCCUGGACCAACACUGACACUGAGGAGCGAAAGCCAGGGGAGCAAACGGG